CUCUGGCGCUACGGCGCCAUGAUGCUAACCCGUGAACACAUUCUUGUGCAUAUUGAGGAACCGCAUCGGAAGGUGCGUGUUAGCUUGUCGUGCUCCUAGUAAUACCCCUAAGUCGUGGGGUUGAGCACGCGAGCUUGCUUCGGCGGACGAUUUUCGUCGUGAUGGUUCUAUUCCAUGGUUCGUUUGGACCUGGAAUAUGGCAUUGCGAUAGACCGCCAGAGCACCUCCCCUUGGGUCCCCCGGAUGCUUUCGACAAUCUCGAACGCAUCGUCUGGGUGUGGCUGGAGGGCAACCUCGAAAACCCAAACAAAAUCAUGCAACCCCUUGUAUUUACCCGAUCGUCCUGAUCGUAUUGAAAACCGUGGCUAUCACAGCCUCCGUUUCGAAAUCAAACUGAAAAACUCUCAACAACGGAUAUCUUGGCUCUUGCAACGAUGAAGAACGCAGCGAAAUGCGAUACGUAGUGUGAAUUGCAGAAUUCCGUGAAUCAUCGAAUGUUUGAACGCAAAUUGCGCCCGAGGCUUCGGCCGAGGGCAUGUCUGCUUGAGCGCCGCUGGACACCCCUCGUCCCAACUUCUCGUCGUCACUAUGUGGGUGAUGAGAUGAGGACGGAUUGAUGGUCGCCUCGAAUACAUGAGACGGAACGGCGGCGUAAGCCCUAUUCUCCUCAUCGAGCCGGCUGGAAAAAAAAAGCUCGGCCCGAUGCGUACCGUAACGGCACACUCGGCGUGGACGAAGCAAUCCCCUUAACCCCUGUAACAAGGGCGUUGCGGGAAUAGCGGAUGUUGCCCGAAUGUCGUAUGCGUGCGCAUYUGUGCGUCGAGACUUAAGCUGUGCCAACGAUCGUGCCAUGUGCACGCUCGUGGAACCCCAAACCCUUGGCCUCAAGUCAGGCAGGAGCACCCGCUGAAUUUAAGCAUA
rnacentral:misc_RNA from 1 species